rnacentral:rRNA from 1 species
UGGGGACUUCGGUGUGUGGCGCACGGGUGCGUAACGCGUGGGAACCUGCCCUUAGGUUCGGAAUAACUCAGAGAAAUUUGAGCUAAUACCGGAUAAUGUCUUCGGACCAAAGAUUUAUCGCCUUUGGAUGGGCCCGCGUUGGAUUAGCUUGUUGGUGGGGUAAAAGCCUACCAAGGCGACGAUCCAUAGCUGGUCUGAGAGGAUGAUCAGCCACACUGGGACUGAGACACGGCCCAGACUCCUACGGGAGGCAGCAGUGGGGAAUAUUGGACAAUGGGCGAAAGCCGGAUCCAGCAAUGCCGCGUGAGUGAUGAAGGCCUUAGGGUUGUAAAGCUCUUUUACUAGGGAUGAUAAUGACAGUACCUAGAGAUUAAGCUCCGGCUAACUCCGUGCCAGCAGCCGCGGUAAUACGGAGGGAGCUAGCGUUGUUCGGAAUUACUGGGCGUAAAGCGCACGUAGGCGGCGCCGCAAGUCAGGGGUGAAAUCCCGGGGCUCAACCCCGGAACUGCCCUUGAAACUGCAGUGCUAGAAUCCUGGAGAGGCGAGUGGAAUUCCGAGUGUAGAGGUGAAAUUCGUAGAUAUUCGGAAGAACACCAGUGGCGAAGGCGACUCGCUGGACAGGUAUUGACGCUGAGGUGCGAAAGCGUGGG